rnacentral:rRNA from 1 species
UACGUAGGGUGCGAGCGUUAAUCGGAAUUACUGGGCGUAAAGCGUGCCGGCAGGCCGCAUGCAAGACAGAUGUGAAAUCCCCGGGCUCAACCUGGGAACUGCAUUUGUGACUGCAUGGCUAGAGUACGGUAGAGGGGGAUGGAAUUCCGCGUGUAGCAGUGAAAUGCGUAGAUAUGCGGAGGAACACCGAUGGCGAAGGCAAUCCCCUGGACCUGUACUGACGCUCAUGCACGAAAGCGUGGGGAGCAACAGG